AUACGGAGGGAGCGAACGUUGUUCGGAUUUACUGGGCGUAAAGGGCGUGUAGGCGGCUCGGCUAGUCAGAGGUGAAAUGUCCCGGCUCAACCGGGAACCUGCCUUUGAAACUUCCGAGCUUGAGGCCGUGAGAGGAGACUGGAAUUCCUAGUGUAGCGGUGAAAUGCAUAGAUAUUAGGAAGAACACCAGUGGCGAAGGCGAGUCUCUGGCACGGUUCUGACGCUAAUGCGCGAAAGCUAGGGGAGCGAACGGGAUUAGAUACCCCAGUAGUCC
rnacentral:rRNA from 1 species